CACGUAGGUGGCAAGCGUUAUCCGGAAUUACUGGGCGUAAAGGGUCCGCAGGUGGGCAUGCAAGUCUGAUGUGACAGCGCCUGGCUCAACUGGGCGUGGCCAUUGGAAACUGCAUAACUUGAGUCACGGAGAGGGGUGCGGAAUUCCGGGUGUAGUGGUGGAAUGCGUAGAGAUCCGGAGGAACACCAGAGGCGCAAGCGGCACCCUGGCCGACGACUGACACUGAGGGACGAAAGCGUGGGGAGCAAACAGG
rnacentral:rRNA from 1 species